rnacentral:rRNA from 1 species
AUUGAACGCUGGCGGCAGGCCUAACACAUGCAAGUCGAGCGGAGAGGCGGACGGGUGAGUAAUGCCUAGGAAUCUGCCUGGUCGUGGGGGAUAACGUCCGGAAACGGGCGCUAAUACCGCAUACACUCAGCUGAGCCUAGGUCGGUUUAGCUAGUUGGUGGGGUAACGGCCUAACAAGGCGACGAUCAGUAAAUGGUCUGAGAGGAUGAUCAGUCACAUUGAAAUUGAGAAACGGACCUGACUCCUACGGGAGGCAGCAGUGGGGAAUAUUGGACAAUGGGCGAAAGCCUGAUCCAGCCAUGCCGCGUGUGUGAAGAAGGUCUUCGGAUUGUAAAGCACUUUAAGUUGGGAGGCGGUACCAACAGAAUAAGCACCGGCUAACUUCGUGCCAGCCGCCGCGGUAAUUC